UAUCAUUUAAAAAACAUUUGGACAGGUACAUGGAUAGGACAGGUUGAGAGGGAUAUGGGCCAAACGCAGGCAGAUGGGACUAGUGUGGACGGGACACGUUGGUUGGUGUGGCGCAACCCAUAGGAGA